UUCGGCGGCCGAAAGUCCUUCGGCUGCCGAACCUGGUUUCUGCCAAAUGGCAGAAACUUGGCUCCCUUUGCACAUUUCGCCUCCAAACCUUUCCAACAUGCAUCAAACCUAUUCUACAACACACAAACACAAGCAUACAUGUUCCUAGGGGCCUCAAACCAUCAUAAACCCCAUCUACAACACAUCAAGCAUCCACAUUGAUCAUGAACAUACAUUUAUACCCAUAAACAUAACCAUAACCUAAACAUGCAUUCUACCCCAUAGAUCUACUUAAAACUUACUUUAAACAUGCAAUGAGCUUGAGAUCGGCUCUUACCUCUUGAAGAUCGAGA
rnacentral:lncRNA from 1 species